UACAAAACAAACUGCUUCACUGCACAUACUCCUCAAGGCGUGUGCUGAUCCUAAUGUAGUUUCAAAUGAUGGAUGGACACCUUUGCUAGUGGCCAGAUGCCAUGGACUUGAAGAGGCAGCCAGACUGCUUUUGAGAUAUAAUGCCAAUAUUAGCAUCGAAGAUGGUGGUCAUACCAUAUCGUUGUGCUGUGGGAAAGCAUUACACAGAACUGGCACUCAUUUUGCAGAGUCCAGAAGUGCCAUUUGUUGGUAGUGGAACAACUCUUCUCACUUCUCAGUAAUGGAUGUGCAGAGAAGUGUAAAUAGUGUGCAGAUGAAUAGCAAAGUAUUGGAAACUGCAUUGUGGGCGGUGAUGAUGGUGGUGCUUUUGAUUCUCCUUGGUUUGCUGUACCUGAUUGUGAUGAUCAAGAAAUCUUGUAAAGGAAGUGAUUCUGAUAGUGAGACCGAAGUAUGAAGGUGCUGAAGAUGGAGAGGAGGAGAGUCACUUCUGCCACACCAUGGUCAUAUCUACUUGAGGAGUAUGAGUGUG